GUCUCUUAUGAUGAUCAAUGAAAACUUUCGUUCUUUCGAGAACAGAUUUCCCAUGUGGAAAUAUUAUGGAGAUUGAACUGAAAAGAA